UACGUAGGGGCCAGCGGUUGUCCGGAUUUAUUGGGCGUAAAGCGUGCGCAGGCGGUUCGUCGUGUCCGAUGUGAAAGACCCCGGGCCUGAACCUGGGAAUGGCAUUGGAAACUGGACGGACUCGAGUGUGGCAGAGGGGGGUGGAAUUCCGCGGUGUAGCAGUGGAAUGCGUAGAGGAUGCGGAGGAACACCGGUGGCGAAGGCGGGUCUCUGGGCCGGUAACUGACGCUGAGGAGCGAAAGCGUGGGGAGCGAACAGG
rnacentral:rRNA from 1 species